rnacentral:rRNA from 1 species
UACGGAGGGUGCGAGCGUUGUCCGGAAUCACUGGGCGUAAAGGGCGCGUAGGCGGCGCGGGUAGUCAUCGGUGAAAGUUCAGGGCUCAACUCUGAAUCGGCCGGUGAUACUCCCGUGCUCGAGCACUGUAGAGGCAGGUGGAAUUCCGGGUGUAGCGGUGGAAUGCGUAGAGAUCCGGAAGAACACCGGUGGCGAAGGCGGGCCUGCUGGGC